UGGAUUUUGUUCUGAGUUUCCUUAGGGCGUGCUUCUGAACAGCAUCAGGAACAGCAGCAAGAGCUCUGGGAUUCAGCAAAGCCAUGUUAUCCAGGAACCUUGGAUCACUGAGCUGUCCCAGGCUCCCUCUGCCAGCCGCUUGCUCCAGGGCUUCAAAGGAAGGCUCGGCUGCAGUACCCAGCAUGCUUUUCUGCGGCUGCCACAGCCCUCUUUUGAAGCACCAUGGUAGCCAACAGAGAGGAUUCUGUGUUACGUACAGUAUGACCCUGGAGGAGCCAGCCAGCUGCUGUGACUCAGCUAAAAACAGGGAACUCGCUAGUGAGGGAUUAUGGUGGCUCAGUUCCCAUGGUUCUGUUUCUUUCACAAGCACUUCUCAACCAAAGUAUCAGCUGUGACCAAGACAGUACAGUAUAGCAUCUAAUCAUUUCUGGGAAGAGCUACAACCUGGCUCAAGGUAGCAGUGGAUUAGAGAAGUUAGAAAACUUCAAAGGAUGUGUAGAACUAAAGCUGAACAUUGGGUAUAAACAAGUUAAAGAAGGUUAAGCUACUGCAAACUUCAGAAAAAAACAAAGUCCCAAUCUCAAAGAAGGCAGAAAACAGGCUGAAAGUCCAAUGUACAGGAGACCACAAACAGAAGGGGAAAGAAGCAUUGCCCACUCAAGAAAGUACGUGCAGAACCACAGCUAUGGUAACAUGGCAACAUCACUUCUAGCCAGGACCUGACUCACACAGGAAGCUGUUCAUGAUAGUCCUGCUUCAGCAUGCUUAAAUAACAACUAAAAGAAGAAGAAGAAGAAGAAGAAGAAGAAGAAGAAGAAGAAGAAGAAGAAGAAGAAGAAGAAGAAGAAGAAGAAGAAGAAGAAGAAGAAGAAGAAGACAGAGCCCAGGGCCUCAAAGUCUGCUGAAAUCUGACAAGUUACAAGUCCCUUCCCUUCUUUGCUUCUGACCUAGCACAUUUAGUUAUGAUGGAGGCGGUCAGCAGAUCCUAACAUGUUCCUUGGAAAAUGACGAACAUUUUCCCAUCUACAGUAAAUCCUUACAAUAUUGAUAAUGACUUAGCACUUGCUUGAAUUGUAAAUGACUGACACCGGUUUCUCAGGAUGUGUCCUCCUUUCUUCUUACUCUGCACAUUGAAUUUUGGAAUAUAUGAAACGCAUUUUCCCCUGCAUAAUUUCUCCAUGUUUACUUUAGCAGCAAUCACACAGCUUUGAAUUUUGUCCCUGAACUUUCAGAGGUCUUAGCAUGCCGGUGGUUCCAAUGUCACAAGCCCAAUUUACAAACACAUUUUCUCACUCCAUUGAACUAGUGGACUCCAUUGUUGGUGAAGAAGCAGAAGUGUACAGUGUAAAAUGACUAAAGACCCUCACUGCAAUCAGAUCAGUUAUUUGUACAAUUUAUCACAUCAUCCAGUUUAAAUAAAUACUUGAACUCAUUUGGGGGAAUCAUGAUUCAUUGCAACUUUGUUCCCUCCCGUUAUUUGCAAGUUCUUAUGAUCAUGGUUUGACUUCCUAGAGUUUAUUAACAAUUUUACUUUAUGUAGGUCUAAAACAUGUUUAUCUUUUUUAUGUAUGUAUGCCCACAUGACUGUAUGGCACAUGUAUGUAGCUGCUGCACAGACCAACAGAGGCUUCAGAUCCUCUGGACUAGGGUUUGCAGGCAUUUGUGAACCACUAGACACUGGUUCUGGGAACUGAACUCUGAUCUGUGGAAGAGCAGGAAGUACUUUUAACUGCUGAGCCGUCUUUCCUGUCUCAACAUUUUUAUAUAUAAAUCUUUAAAGUAUCUGAAGUAAUUUGCCAAUUUGACAAGUAUUUUCAAUAAAUGUCAUAUAACCUCAUUUCUGUAAGCCCUGACUGUCAGGUUUCUCAAAAUUUUGGUUACUUUCUUUGAGCAAACUUUUAUUUCUCAACCUCCUCAUAAAAACAUGCUGGCCAGAAUGAACCAUAUCUCAGGCCCAGUCUGGGAAUUUGAUGCCCUUUGUGUGGGAACACUGUCAUUGAUGCAACCAGUGAUUACAUUACUUCUUUUGGCUAGACAUUGUACUGUUGACUCAUAGAGUUAGCAACCAUUCUGAAUCUUAACUUUGUCCCCCACUUUUUAAACAGGAUGUGCUUCUGAGUGAUAACAUUUUUCUCUGGCUUAUCAGAUUGGAUAGAUGAACAAUUAAUGAAUACAUUAAAAAUCCGAAGUUCUUGACAGUAUACAUGCUUUCCUCUGCCUAGCUACAAGGUAACAUUUACAUGGGAGAAAAUAGAGGGAAUAUAUUUUUAUAAUAAAAGUUGGUUUUGUGAAACCAUACAUUGAAAUUAAUAUUGGUUUCAAGUUUAGUAGAAAUGUUACCUGAUUCACAUUGACUUCUCGAAUUCAUGGUGGCUCUGAUUUUCAAUUUUUAUCUGAGCUCACUUAGAUGAUGAGGAUUUUUGACAAACUACCAUACUCAACCUGUAAGUUAAUGUCUUUAAGCCAUAGAUGUAAUUGCAAACUAAAUUUCUCAUUUGCUAAAUAGAGCUGAGUUUUCACACAACAUUGGGAAUCCAUAAAUUAGAAUUUGUUACUCAGAUCUCAGAUACACUUUGGUUGAAACUGA